rnacentral:misc_RNA from 1 species
UGAAUCUGUAUAUUCAAACUAAAUUUUUCCUACUUCUAUACUUUUUAACAUUUUCUAUGGCAAUAGCAUUAAAAAUACCUCAGAUGAGAAGAAAUCUUCUAACCAUAAUUGUAGCCAUUUGUCUGGCUGCAGGAGCCAUGCCCAAAAAUGUAGUGGCUCAGAAUUGUGGCUGUGCAGCCAAUCUGUGCUGCAGUCAAUACGGCUACUGUGGCACCGGUGACCCUUACUGCGGCCAAGGAUGCAAAGAGGGUCCUUGCUAUUCUACGCCUACGCCCACCACACCAUCCAGCAGCGUUUCCGUGGCUGAUGUUGUUACUCCUGAUUUCUUUAACGGGAUAAUCAAUGAAGCCGCCGGGAACUGUGCUGGCAAGAACUUCUAUAGCCGCGAUACAUUUCUCAAAGCUCUCAAUUCAUAUUCUGAUUUUGGCAAGAUCGGCUCCGACGAUGAUUCCAAGCGCGAGAUUGCUGCUUUUUUUGCUCAUGUUACGCAUGAAACAGGACACUUCUGCUACAUCGAGGAGAUAGAUGGAGCCUCCAAGGACUACUGCGACGAAACAAACACGCAGUACCCAUGUGUUGCAGGCAAGAACUACUUUGGCCGAGGACCUCUUCAACUGACAUGGAACUAUAACUAUGGACCAGCUGGGCAGAGCAAUAACUUUGAUGGGUUAAACGCUCCUGAAACUGUGGCCAAUGACCCAGUUGUGUCAUUUAAGACUGCUCUCUGGUUUUGGAUGAACAAUGUUCGCCCUGUUGUAACGCAGGGCUUUGGUGCGACUAUUAGAGCCAUUAACGGUGCAAUUGAAUGUAAUGGUGGAAAUUCCGAUGCUGUUCAGGCUCGUAUUGGGUAUUACACAGAUUAUUGUAACCAGUUUGGUGUUUCACCUGGAGAUAAUCUUAGUUGUUAGGUAGGUUACCUUAUCGGACUUGAUUAUAUUUUAAAUAAUAAAUGAUGUACUAUUGCAGUAAUUAAUCCGACUACGCGUCGGAGUUGAUGUAUUAUUUGCAAAGAAUAAAAUAAUAAAGUGGGAUUGCAUGUUUUU